GACACAUAAACUACUGCAGCAUAAAUACUGGAGGCUGAGACAGGAGCUGUCCUACUGGAGCUGUAUGAAUGAAGUGUUUGUGAGGAGGGUUUUGUUCUACUGGAGCUGUAUGAAUGAAGUGUUUGUUGGGAGGGUUUUGUUCUACUGGAGCUGUAUGAAUAAAAUGUUUGUUUUAGGGUUUUGUUCUACUGGAGCUGUAUGAAUGAAAUAUUGUUAGGAGGGUUUUGUUCUACUGGAGCUGUAUGAAUAAAGUGUUUGUUGGGAGGGUUUUGAUCUACUGUAGCUGUAUGAUUGAAGUGUUUGUUAGGAGGGGUUUGUUCUACUGGAGCUGUAUGAUUGAAGUGUUUGUUAGGAGGGUUUUGUUCUACUGGAGCUGUAUGAAUGAAGUGUUUGUUAGGAGGGUUUUGUUCUACAGGAGCUGUAUGAAUGAAGUGUUUGUUUUAGGGUUUUGUUCUACUGGAGCUGUAUGAAGGAAGUGUUUGUUAGGAGGGUUUUAAUCUACUGGAGCUGUAUGAAUGAAGUGUUUGUGAGGAGAGUUUUGUUCUACUGGAGGUGUAGGAAUAAAGUGUUUGUUAGGAGGGUUUUGUUCUCCUGGAGGUGUUUGAAUGAAGUGUUCGUUAGGAGGGUUUUGUUCUACUGGAGCUAUAUGAAUAAAGUGUUUGUUGGGAGGGUUUUGAUCUACUGGAACUGUAUGAUUGAAGUGUUUGUUAGGAGGGGUUUGUUCUACUGGAGCUGUAUGAAUGAAGUGUUUGUUAGGAGGGUUUUAAUCUACUGGAGCUGUAUGAAUGAAGUGUUUGUUAGGAGGGUUUUUUUCAACUGGAGUUGUAUGAAUGAAGUGUUUGUUAGGAGGGUUUUGUUCAACUGGAGCUGUAUGAAUGAAGUGUUUGUGAGGAGAGUUUUGUUCUAAUGGAGCUGUAUGAAUGAAGUGUUUGUUAGGAGGGUUUUGUUCUACUGGAGCUGUAUGAAUGAAGUGUUUGUUAGGAGGGUUUUGUUCAACUGGAGUUGUAUGAAUGAAGUGUUUGUUAGGAGGGUUUUGUUCAACUGGAGCUGUAUGAAUGACGUGUUUGUGAGGAGAGUUUUGUUCUACUGGAGCUGUAUGAAUGAAGUGUUUGUUAGGAGGGUUUUGUUCUACUGGAGCUGUAUGAAUGAAGUGUUUGUUAGGAGGGUUUUGUUCUACAGGAGCUGUAUGAAUGAAGUGUUUGUUAUGAAGGUUUUGUUCUACUGGAGCUGUAUGAAUGAAGUGUUUGUUAGGAGGGUUUUGUCCUACUGGAGCUGUAUGAAUGAAGUGUUUGUGAGGAAGGUUUUGUUCUACUGUAGCUGUAUGAAUGAAGUGUUUGUUGGGAGGGUUUUGUUCUACUGGAGCUGUAUGAAUGAAAUUUUUGUUUUAGGGUUUUGUUCUACUGGAGCUGUAUGAAUGAAAUAUUGUUAGGUGGGUUUUGUUCUACUGGAGCUGUAUGAAUAAAGUGUUUGUUGGGAGGGUUUUGAUCUACUGGAGCUGUAUGAUUGAAGUGUUUGUUAGGAGGGUGUGUUCUACUGGAGCUGUAUGAUUGAAGUGUUUGUUAGGAGGGUUUUGUUCUACUGGAGCUGUAUGAAUGAAGUGUUUGUUAGGAGGGUUUUGUUCUACAGGAGCUGUAUGAAUGAAGUGUUUGUUUUAGGGUUUUGUUCUACUGGAGCUGUAUGAAGGAAGUGUUUGUUAGGAGGGUUUUAGUCUACUGGAGC